UACGUAGGGUGCGAGCGUUGUCCGGAAUUACUGGGCGUAAAGAGCUCGUAGGUGGUUUGUCGCGUUGUCCGUGAAAACUCACAGCUUAACUGUGGGCGUGCGGGCGAUACGGGCAGACUGGAGUACUGCAGGGGAGACUGGAAUUCCUGGUGUAGCGGUGGAAUGCGCAGAUAUCAGGAGGAACACCGGUGGCGAAGGCGCCACUCUGGGCCGGUACUGACGCUGAGGAGCGAAAGCGUGGGUAGCAAACAGG
rnacentral:rRNA from 1 species